rnacentral:rRNA from 1 species
CUGAAACUCGCCUAUAUGAAGUCGGAAUUGCUAGUAAUCGCGGAUCAGCAUGCCGCGGUGAAUACGUUCCCGGGCCUUGUACACACCGCCCGUCACACCAUGAGAGUCGAUAACACCCGAAGCCUGUAGUCUAACCGCAAGGAGGACGCAGUCGAAGGUGGGAUUGAUAAUUAGGGUGAAGUCGUAACAAGGUACC